UACGUAGGGCGCAAGCGUUGUCCGGAAUUAUUGGGCGUAAAGAGCUCGUAGGCGGCCUGUUACGUCUGCUGUGAAAUCCCGGGGCUUAACCCCGGGCGUGCAGUGGAUACGGGCAGGCUGGAGGCAGGCAGGGGAGAACGGAAUUCCCGGUGUAGCGGUGAAAUGCGCAGAUAUCAGGAGGAACACCGGUGGCGAAGGCGGGUCUCUGGGCCGAAACUGACGCUGAGGAGCGAAAGCAUGGGGAGCAAACAGG
rnacentral:rRNA from 1 species